rnacentral:lncRNA from 10 species
GGCCCACUCAGUCCUUCCCAGCCAAUAGUCCAGCUCGAUGCAGCUGCAGGAGCGAGCCCAGAUGUCUUGAGGCCUUCCAGACCUUGCUCCACCUCCACCACCAGGUCUCCAGUCCUGAGCCACAUGCUGCCAUUUUUGUCUCAGAAGCACCCCUCUUCCAGGUGGAAGAUUGAAGGUCUGAAGAGUGGGAAGUCCCAGGAACAGGCAAUUCCAGGAAGAUAUGAGGAAAAUCAAGAAAGAGAAGGAAACUGAAGCUAGUGGGAAGUGCUUCAAGUUGGAGAUGAUGCUGAGAUGGCCAAAAAGUGAGAGGUGGAAAACAUUUGGAUUUUCAAACCUGAGUGAAUGAAUGAAUAAACGGACCUGGGAAUUGAUCAACAAUGGCUGCUGCAUCGCGUAAAGAGAGACGACCAGGUGUCAGCUGGCUGUCAACUGAUCUAGGAUGGUCUUGGAGGGACAACGAGGGCAACCCCAUGUCUCUUCUUUAGCAGGCCAGCCCAGACAUGCUUUCAUGGCUGAAUAGGAGCCAGCCUGGUCAUGGGAGCAAUUUUCAAGCAAGUCUCUGCUUGAAUGUCACAUUUACUAACAUCCUGUUGGCCAAGGUGCAUCCCAUGGCUGAGCCCAGUGUCCAAGUGAAAGGGCACCAGGAAGUUCCCUGCAGCGCUGUGGGUACUGGAAGAAUGGGCGCCAUCUUCAUGACAGCAGCAUGCUAAGUUACAGAAAGUGAGCGGCGUUCUAGACAAAGCAAGCUCAUCUGUGAAUGGAUCAUGGCGGAAACCUGACCACAGUAUGUUGGGAUUUAUGUGUUUGACAUUUUCUAUAAUAGAAAGGCAGAUCAAAAAUAAGGCUCCAGUGCCUCCACUCAGGAAAGCUCAAGUAGGUUUUCUUGAGAAUUUUUAGUGGAUACCCUGUUUUGCAAUGUUCUUUUCUUUUUCUAAUGAGGCUGAACCAGAUUGUAAUGCCAUGAGGCUUCUACAUGGAGAGCUGGACGUUGGUGAGGAUUGGGUGGAGAAGGCCGGGUGGAGGCUGGGCCUGGGAGAAGAGCAGCAGAUUCCCAAACGUACUGGUAUUGGUGCAUACUCUGAGA